GCGGCAGCAGCAGCUUUGGGAGGUACGUGGAUCAUGGUGCUCCGCUGUCUUGUGGCGACUUGGUCAUGGUUUCACCGGCGCUACAGGCCACAAGGAGGCGACCAAAGAUGGCAAGGCAAAAGCUAUUCCCUCUCCCUCCACCACCGUCCAAUGGCCACAGGUCAACACAACGUUUGGCCUUCUCGCUUGUCUUCGUACGGAUUGAUUCUUUUGGGUGCUAAAAACAAAUGGCAUUCACGCAGGCCUCCAUUAAGGGAGUACUCGAAGGUUUGUCUUCUUCCCGACGACCGCGUUAAAUUCAAGCUUGGCUGCUUCGGGCUCCAUCUCUUUCACACGAUAAUUCUCUUUGGGUUAAUUACCUAAUGCGACUGCAACUAACAUGAAGGUUUGUCUUCUUCCCGACGACUGCGUUAAAUUCAAGCUUGGCUGCUUCGAACUCCC
rnacentral:lncRNA from 1 species